GCUUCAUUCCAGCGUUUGGUACGCCAACCGGAACAGAACCCACUCGUCCCCGAUCAGCGAAUAUUCGUCAAAGAUGCGGAAUGCGCUGAGACCUCCAAAUCGACGGAAUCACAGGGAACGAGCCCUCUCCUCUCCCGCAACCCUAUCGCUCGUCUCCACAGCGCCGCUCGACCUCCUCCUUCCUCCGUGCGCCUCCAGCCCUCUCCCUCCCACUCAGGGUACAAGGGGAAGAAGGAAGUAGGAGAGAACAAGGAGAAGAAGACAGCAGAGCGAAGCAAACCGUCCUCACCUCAAGAUGGUCAAGAAGAUGAAUAAAAGAAAAAGGAUGGUUAGGGGAGCCGCAGUUUUUGUCACACUUGCUGCAAUAGCAGUCAUUGUUCGAGCUUUAAUAAGGAAGAGAAGACCACGUAUUACAUAUGGCCCAAUGCAUGAAAGAGAUCAGGCACAUAAAGCUGAU